rnacentral:rRNA from 1 species
GACGAACGCUGGCGGCGUGCCUAACACAUGCAAGUCGAGCGAAUGAAGUUCCUUCGGGAAUGGAUUUAGCGGCGGACGGGUGAGUAACACGUGGGCAACCUGCCUCAUAGAGGGGAAUAGCCUCCCGAAAGGGAGAUUAAUACCGCAUAAGAUUGUAGUACCGCAUGAUACAGCAAUUAAAGGAGCAAUCCGCUAUGAGAUGGGCCCGCGGCGCAUUAGCUAGUUGGUGAGGUAAUGGCUCACUAAGGCGACGAUGCGUAGCCGACCUGAGAGGGUGAUCGGCCACAUUGGGACUGAGACACGGCCCAGACUCCUACGGGAGGCAGCAGUGGGGAAUAUUGCACAAUGGGGGAAACCCUGAUGCAGCAACGCCGCGUGAGUGAUGACGGCCUUCGGGUUGUAAAGCUCUGUCUUCAGGGACGAUAAUGACGGUACCUGAGGAGGAAGCCACGGCUAACUACGUG